rnacentral:rRNA from 1 species
AUACGUAGGUGCCAAGCGUUAUCCGGAUUUACUGGGCGUAAAGGGCGUGUAGGCGGUCUUGCAAGUCAGAAGUGAAAUUCCUGAGCUCAACUCGGGCGCUGCUUCUGAAACUGCAGGACUUGAGUGCUGGAGGGGAUAGCGGAAUUCCUAGUGGAGCGGUAAAAUGCGCAGAUAUUAGGAAGAACACCGGAGGCGAAGGCGGAUAUCUGGACUGUAACGGACGCUGAUGCACGGAAGCGGGGGGAGAAAACAGGAUGAGAUUCCCGGGUAGUCCACGCCGUAAACGAUGAAUACUAGGUGUAGGGGGUAUCGACUCCCUCUGUGCCGCAGUUAACACAAUAAGUAUUCCGCCUGGGGAGUACAGCCGCAAGGUUGAAACUCAAAGGAAUUGACGGGG